AAAAAUUUUCAUGCCUCAUCUUGACUUCUCCACAAGUAAAUUAAAUGAAUCUGCCAUUAGAGAAGAAGUUGAAGCAUUUAUCAUGUUUCAUGCACUUCCAAGAGAUUUCACUGCAAAUCCAUUGUCUCUUUCCUUGUAGCAAGUAUCAAUGUUAAGAGGGUAUCUCAGUGGAUAUUGUCGACUAUUCUAGCUCACCCCACAAGAGUUUUUACUUGUGCUUCCUCUUGUGUGAUCAGCUGAAUUUCACGUACGGUAGGUACCUAUGUUUCUUGGAAGGGAGUGGCAGCUCCCUUUUCUUCCUCCUUAAAUGUUAACAUGAAGCUAGCUAGCUAAUUAAAGCUCAAAACUUUUUGCUUCUACAAUUAAGGCAACCUUAUGUGUAUCAUUGCCAAGCCUUUGUUCAUUAUCGGCCUAAAUUAAUGGUGAGUAGGUUUUAUAUGGUUUGUUCAUAAUUGGGUUGCAAUAUCUCGUAAUCGCUACAUCUUCUGCACCUCUUCUUGCAUAAUUAGGUGAUGAGAUUGAGCAGAAGUAGAAGAAUUUCUAUUAUUUUCAUGAUUAUUUUAUGGAGAUUUGCUUAAUAUUUAACUGUAAAACUGUGAGUUGGUGAGAACAUAGUGGGAUAUUAAUUCUGUGGUUAAUUAAUCAGAGAGUAUUUUUUACAGUUACUUCAAGAUUUUCUUGCUUGCCGUGCAUGUUUACACUGCUCGAUCUUUCUCCUUGAGUUAAGUAAUUAUCAGUAUCUUACUGUGGAAAGCUGUCUUUUUCAUUGAGGCAUAGAAUCAAAAUUGUUAGCAAAAACCCUAUAAAGCUUUUAAAAAAGCCUACAAGUGGUACCGUUUUGUGCAAAAUCAGCUAAUUGCUUUAGUGUGAGUGCCUUCUACGUUUAAUAAAUGGUAAGGGAGAACAUAGGGAUAUAUUGCUAAACUUCCCUGCAAAGCAUUCCCUUCUCAACAAAUUAUACUUUAUUCAUCAAUCUCUUUUGCAUUUGCAUAUCUUUUUGUUCCUUUCAUGUACGUUCAAUGUUUACGUGAUCUAAAAACUUUUGGAUCACACCAUGUUCUACAUUAUAUAAAAAAAUAUAUUUAUUUUUCUGAUUUCUCCGCAAAUUUCAAAAUUUUUCUUUAGUUCAUUCCGUUUUUUACAUUUGUUGUACAACACUUCAUGUUUUUUCCCAUAUCAAUUUUGCAUUUUGACUCAAUAUUAAAUAAUUAUGAUAGUGAACGACAUAACAAUUAUCUACUACUAAUAUAGCUAACGACUAUUAUAAUAGUUAGUAUUGUCGAAAUGAGCCUACUUCAAGUUUUAGUUGUAAAAUUGCUUUAAAUUUAUUUUCAUUUUUUAAAGCUUUUUACAUUAAAAUUCAUGUAUUCUUUCUAUUGGAAAUUAGAGUACUGAGAAAACGAGAAAACAUAUGGGACAGAAAUGUAGAGGAAAAAGAACAGAAGGCUUUUAUUCUAAUAUUGUUUCAUAAAGUUGAGAAUACAGACAUGUCUCUUUAAUCGACCCGCGGGUUGAUUAAUUCCAUAAACAGCACAUGUGGCUGCUAGACCACUGGCUACAUUAAUUAAAAUGCCUUUAAAUACAAACAUGAAUGCUGCGACUUCAUUAAUUUCACAGUCCACUCUAAUGGAACUUCAUCUUAUAAGGAACAUGAAUUUUACGACUGAUCACUAGCUAAUAUUUGGUGGGUAUUAAUUAACUUAACACUAGGAAAACAACAGUCAAAUUAAGUUACAGCGUUUUUAAUUUUUAUUAUGUACAGGAACUUAUAUCAUAAUUUUCCCUUUAAUUACCUCUCAUCAUUCUACGAUCAGUGUAUAUACUGUUGCAUAGUCUUAUAACAGGAUGUGCAUCAUUUCCAUAUCUCAAUUUGACUACCGGGGGUGGACGUGGAAGCAUUUUCUGGCGCGGUUUCUUGCUUGCUCAAGUGCUUAGCAACCAUAUUUGCCUGAUCUGAUGAGUGGAAGAUAUUGUUGGUUGCAUUUGAGUAGCUAUUAUUUUCCUUGGGCAGGUCGUCUUGGCUUAGUUGAGAAGCAACAAACUUGUCUAGAACUCUCCAAUCAGUCACUGGAUCAACUGGUUGCCUAUUAUUAUUUUGGUGACCAU
rnacentral:lncRNA from 1 species